AGGAAAGGCAGCUUUUUCGGCUUGGCUUUGCUUUUUUGUGCUGAAAAUAAAACUGACCUUGGGAGGUUUCCGAGAUUUACAAAAUCCAAACAAAAAGUAUUGGAAAUGCACCUUAGAGAAGAUUUGACCUUGUUGAAACAUGUGAGAUAUCAUGAAGCAAAGUAAUGAAAAUGGCAAUGAAGAAGGUUAACACCAACCACUUGCAAGCUCACCCACUCACCC
rnacentral:lncRNA from 11 species